ensembl:lncRNA EXOSC10-AS1 EXOSC10 antisense RNA 1
GUUUUAUGAGUUGCUGGGGUAGCUGAUCAGUACUGUCUGCCCUUGGGAAGAAAUGAGGUGAGGAAAAAGAUAUGCAAAGGAAUGGACUCCUGGAUGGGCCUGUCUUCUCAGCAGAGGAGGAGGUCAGAAACAGGCGCCACCAGCGUGCUAAAAUCCUCCAGGAGCAGUUCUUACCUUGCCAGACGGGGUCUGUUUAUUUGGAUCAAACUGAGAAGAAACUUUGGAUUUGCUGUUUCCUGAAAGUUGAGUGGUCUGGCAUAUUUACCAUAAACACAGUGGAAGAAGGUUAAGAGGAAUUACAAUAUCAAUCUUGUGGAGGUUUCGGAAAUGAGGUAGACACUAAUAGCCAAGCUAAGGUGAACCGGAAAGAAGUCAGGACUUAAUAUAAAGCACAGGGCAAGCCCCCUAAGAUAUCCAAGGAAGAUCCUGACCACAAGCAGGGGCAUCGUUUUUCAAAGGAAAAAGGAGAAAAGCUGGCACAUACCACGACCUGCUGUCGGACGGAGAUGGCCUGUUCUGCUGCAGCUUUGCACGCCUCCUUUGCCUGUUCCCGGGCAGCUGCAAGGGAGAGAACUUGUCUCUGGAGUUGGUGAAUCCAGCAACCACCCUCCCCUCCAUCUCCAUCCCCCUCCGACUUGGCCUAGCCACAGGGGUUGUCACGGCUGAUUCCUCCUCCCUCUCAGGUCCCCGGUCCCCCAUCUCUGCAGGACAGGCUGCCUCAGAGCUCAGGCUCAGGUGCUCUGCCCACCUUCAGCUACACGUGAGCUGAUCCUCCCCAGCCCUGCCUGCUCCUCUUCUGUGAACCUAAAUGCUCAGUGGCCUGUGGACCUGAGGGCGUUUAACAGGAUCGUCACCAUCACCAUCGUGGACAAACCUGCUCAAACCAGCUACUUUGGCUGCCAGCAACUCCAGCUUUCCAGCUGCUCAGGACAAAACCUUCAUCCAAGGUUCCCUUCCCUUUUCUCACAUGCCACAUCCACCUCAUCAUCAAAUGCUGUCAGCUUUGCUAUGGGACAGAUCAAGGCUCUGACAGCUUCUCACCACCUCCUCUGCUCCCACGCUGGUCUCAAAGCCACCAUCCCCUCUCGCCUGAGCCACUGCCAUGUCUCCUAUCCCUUCCUGGACUCCCAUCCUGUCCUCUAUAGUCUACUGUUGACACAGCAGCCAGAGUGCCACAUGUCAGUCACUUCCCCCCGUCUGCUCAGCACCCUCCUGGCUUCUGAACUCAGAGUAAAAGGCAGCGUCAUCCCGUGGGCCUCUGCUGGCUCCUUCCCCAUCUCCUGCUCUUCUCUACCCGCUCUGCUCAUGCAGGCCCACUUGCUGCUGCUCAGCAUGCCCAGUGAACUAGCCCCAGGGCCUCUGGGCUCGCUGUGCUGUGGCUCCAGAACUCUUCUCUAGGUCACUGCAGGUCUCGUCAAUGUCGCAUUCAUUAGACUGCCUUCUCCAACCACCAACGAGACAGCUACAGCACCUCCAGCACUCCCCACCAAUCUCUCUGCACAGCACCUGCUGCCAUCUGCCAGGAUAGAUACUGAUUGCCCACCAUCCCUCAGCAGAAGGGAAGCCCCACAGGGGCUUCAUUCAUCGCCGUAUCUGGCACUUGGCUGAAACAGCGGGUGUGCAACAGCCAUUCUUUAACAGCCGACUGAGUUGCAAGGAAGUGAGUGUUACCUGUUUGCUCAGCUGCCUUCUUCUUGACAGCUUCUUUAGAGUCUUUUUGUACUUGUACCUGGGCCAGCUUCCAGCGGUUGCUGAUCUAUAAUGAAAGCAAAUAUAACAAAAAAAACCCUCCAAAGUCAGCCACCUAAGUCUGUCUUACUUUUCAUGAGGUGACGAAGGGCAGGUUAACCUAAGAAGUACACACAUUCUAAGUCAUAAAUUUUCAAAUCUAAGGGCAUGAAAAAUAAAUUUCAUGCUGGCUUUAUUGCUAAAAUCCCUAUUAAGGACAAAGUGCUACUGUCCUCCAGGCACUGGGCCAUCCAUCAUCUCAUUCAAUCCCUCUGUAACCCUGGGAAAAAGGUACUGUCAUCACCCUCUCUUUAGAGAUGAGCAAACAGACUCCGGGAGAGUAAAUAACUUGUCCAAGGGACAUGGUCAGUAAAUGACAGAAGCAGACUCAAGGCUGGGCUUCCGCAAGUCUGCUGUGUUUCUUUAUGACACCCCACGGACCUAUGGCGUUACAACACAUGGAGGUGACACUGGGCAUAACACACAGGACGUGCAGUUGUUCAGUGUGACAUAACCCGUGGGGGGAAAAGAGGAGAGAAGGCAGAAGCCCCACCUGAUUCCCCAUUUCCAAAAAUAGCAAGCUAACUCAGGGACAGGAACGGGGCUGGGGGACCUCUCGGUUUUGCCUAACAAAAGAGCUCUGCUGCCACACAGAGGAAGCCAGUCGCCCAUGUCAUCAGAGCAGACGCUUCCUAAAGGGAGGAAGGAGGCUGCGAACAACAGUUCACGUUCUGGCUCUGGGGAACAUCUCAAGAGGGUCUAGGGGAGGUGUGCUCUCAUUCUUACUCAUAAUGCUGGUAAAAACAAGCCAGAUAAGUAAGAUAGAGUGUUUUAAAAUUAAAGCUGUCACCUUUAAGAGCCUUAAAGUAACAGACAUCUAUAAAAAUGCAUCAAGCUGUAUAUUUAAUAUUUGUGUACUUUACUACAUAUAGAUUAAACCUCAAUUUAAAAACC